GUGCCAGCCGCCGCGGUAAAACGUAGGGGGCAAGCGUUGUCCGGAGUUACUGGGCGUAAAGGGUGCGCAGGCGGUGGGUUACGUCGUGUGUGAAAGCCCCCGGCUUAACCGGGGAGGGUCGCGCGAAACGGGCUCACUGGAGGCAAGGCGAGGUCGGUGGAAUUCCCGGUGUAGUGGUGAAAUGCGUAGAGAUCGGGAGGAACACCAGAGGCGAAGGCGGCCGACUGGACUUGACCUGACGCUGAGGCACGAAGGGGUGGGGAGCGAACGGGAUUAGAUACCCCGGUAGUCCACGCAGUAAACGAUGGAUACUAGGUGUGGCGGGAGUUGACCCCGGCCGUGCCGGAGCUAACGCAGUAAGUAUCCCGCCUGGGGAGUACGGCCGCAAGGCUAAAACUCAAAGGAAUUGACGGGG
rnacentral:rRNA from 1 species